rnacentral:rRNA from 1 species
GCGUAUGCAACUUGCCUAUCAGAGGGGGAUAACCCGGCGAAAGUCGGACUAAUACCGCAUGAAGCAGGGAUCCCGCAUGGGAAUAUUUGCUAAAGAUUCAUCGCUGAUAGAUAGGCAUGCGUUCCAUUAGGCAGUUGGCGGGGUAACGGCCCACCAAACCGACGAUGGAUAGGGGUUCUGAGAGGAAGGUCCCCCACAUUGGUACUGAGACACGGACCAAACUCCUACGGGAGGCAGCAGUGAGGAAUAUUGGUCAAUGGCCGAGAGGCUGAACCAGCCAAGUCGCGUGAGGGAUGAAGGUUCUAUGGAUCGUAAACCUCUUUUAUAAGGGAAUAAAGUGCGGGACGUGUCCCGUUUUGUAUGUACCUUAUGUAUAAGGAUCGGCUAACUCCGUGCCAGCAGCCGCGGUAAUACGGAGGAUCCGAGCGUUAUCCGGAUUUAUUGGGUUUAAAGGGUGCGUAGGCGGCCUUUUAAGUCAGCGGUGAAAGUCUGUGGCUCAACCAUAGAAUUGCCGUUGAAACUGGGGGGCUUGAGUAUGUUUGAGGCAGGCGGAAUGCGUGGUGUAGCGGUGAAAUGCAUAGAUAUCACGCAGAACCCCGAUUGCGAAGGCAGCCUGCCAAGCCAUUACUGACGCUGAUGCACGAAAGCGUGGGGAUCAAACAGGAUUAGAUACCCUGGUAGUCCACGCAGUAAACGAUGAUCACUAGCUGUUUGCGAUACACUGUAAGCGGCACAGCGAAAGCGUUAAGUGAUCCACCUGGGGAGUACGCCGGCAACGGUGAAACUCAAAGGAAUUGACGGGGGCC